ensembl:lncRNA
CCUUGACAGAACCCUGGACACCUUUGAAGGGAUUCCAACCAACAGCUCCAAAGAUUUGCUGUGUUGCUUCCAAUAUUGUUACUUCUGAUGGACCAUGUGGGUAUGGAGGAGAAAAUACCAGCAAAGAACUCUGGACUUCUCAGAAGAAAGUCAGAAGAUUCAGGUAUGUUUCAUGGAGAGUAUCAUUUCCUUGAUCUCCAAAAUGGAAAUUAUAUCACCGGCUGGUGUGAUGCCUUCUUGAACCACAGAUCCAGUUGUAAGCCCAGCUACCGAGGGUUAGGAAAGACUGCUGAGCCCCCUCAAUCGCCUCCCUGCACUGGGAUAAGCUGUGACUCACGACGGGUGUUCAAUCAGAGGCAGCCCCGGGUUGGCAGGCCAGGUCACCUCACCCACAGCCCUGAGGGCAAACACCACUAGGUCUUAAAGAAACGCUGAAUGUAAUGAGCACCCAGACCCCACAAGCCUGAGGAUGCUCCAACGUGGCAGCUUGAAGGGCUCUCCCAGCAGGAAAAGUCAUCUCUUCCUUCAGUGGAAGCAAGAAGUUGGAGGGCAGUGAAGGCAGUGAAAGGAGCGUGGGCUCUGGAGUCAGCGCCAUUGAUCGGCCUUCCCACUUUCUAGCUGCACGGUUUUGGGCACAUUGCCUAGCCGCUCUCAGAAAAUGGAAGGCACAGUAGUACCUGCCUUGCUGGAUUGUUUUCAGACAAUAAAUCAUCACUGUAAAGCAUGUAACUCAAACAUUGUCAAUAAGUGGUGGUUCUUAUUGUCAUUUUUUCACCCAAUCAUUUAAUCAUUAAAUAAAAGUAUCCUUGGGUUACUUAGCUUUCUGAUUACAAAAGUAUUUUAAUUAUUUAUCUAUAAAGCUGCAGAAGAGUACAGACUGAAUAGUCAAGCACAGCAGCUUCAAAGACCUGAGUUUAAAUCAUAACCAUUUUAAAAUCACUCCUUGGUCUGUUUGUUUGUUUUUUUUUAAAAGUAUCUGUAGCAACAAUAAUUGAUAGUCCAUUUAUUUGAUUAACUUUGUAUGAGGAACAUACAGAAGUUGAUCUUUAGGAUUCAGUGGUGACCCUGACUUCUGUGUCAUACAACCUCCUUCCUAAAUCUGCUUUAAAAGCUGCCUGAACUGUUCUCUGCAAGGCUCAAGGGUCAAUUUUUGUUGAUUUUGUUUGUACUGUAGAAGAUGAUGCCCGACUUCAAGCACUGAAAGACAUGCUUCUUUUGAAGAGAGCCUAAGCAAGACUUGACAGUAGACAUAGUUUAUCCUUUUUACUGUCAUCAGCAAAUAAAGAAGCCAGCAUUAUCUUUAAUAGCCUCAAACUGGAAGCAGCUCAAGGGUCCAACAGGUCUGGACCAUGUUUUCACAAAACAAUGGAAUAUAAUUGUAUUGAUCCAAUCACCAGGUUUAUAAAAUAAUAAAGAGGGAUAGGACCUUCUAAAUUGUAGCUGUUAUAAGGAUUUGAACUUGAUCCCCAAGAGUACACUUUUUCGAUAUGUUUUUAUUUUAAAAUACAUGUAUUAAUACGCAGUAUUUGUUUUCCUCUUCCUGACUUACUUCACUCUUUGUGACAGACUCUAGAUCUAUCCACAUCCAGAAAAAUGGCACAGAUGAACCUAUCUCCAGGCAGGAGCAGAGACAGAGACAUAGAGGAUGCAUAUGCGGACACAGUGGAGGCAGGAGAAGGUGUGGGACAAACUAGGAGACUGUCAUACAUUCACCUCCAUGUGUUAAAUAGGUAGCUAGUGGGAAGUUCCUACAAAGUACAGGGAGCUCACUUUGGUGCUCUGUGACGAC